CCUACGGUGGACCGCAGUCGAGAAUCAUUCACAAUGGGGGAAACCCUGAUGGUGCGACGCCGCGUGGGGGAAUGAAGGUCUUCGGAUUGUAAACCCCUGUCAUGUGGGAGCAAAUUAAAAAGAUAGUACCACAAGAGGAAGAGACGGCUAACUCUGUGCCAGCAGCCGCGGUAAUACAGAGGUCUCAAGCGUUGUUCGGAAUCACUGGGCGUAAAGCGUGCGUAGGCUGUUUCGUAAGUCGUGUGUGAAAGGCGCGGGCUCAACCCGCGGACGGCACAUGAUACUGCGAGACUAGAGUAAUGGAGGGGGAACCGGAAUUCUCGGUGUAGCAGUGAAAUGCGUAGAUAUCGAGAGGAACACUCGUGGCGAAGGCGGGUUCCUGGACAUUAACUGACGCUGAGGCACGAAGGCCAGGGGAGCGAAAGGGAUUAGAUACCCCAGUAGUC
rnacentral:rRNA from 1 species